AGUAAUGUAUGGGGAUCUGCCUGAUGGCGGGGGAUAACUACUGGAAACGGUAGCUAAUACCGCAUAACGUCGCAAGACCAAAGAGGGGACCUUCGGGCCUCUUGCCAUCGGAUGUGCCCAGAUGGGAUUAGCUAGUAGGUGGGGUAACGGCUCACCUAGGCGACGAUCCCUAGCUGGUCUGAGAGGAUGAUCAGCCACACUGGGACUGAGACACGGCCCAG
rnacentral:rRNA from 1 species